AAAGUCAAAAAUUUCAUCCGAGGUUGGUUCUUCAUUUUGAAGAUGCCAGAUCCUGCGAAAUCUACCCCUGCUCCUAAAAAGGGCUCUAAAAAAGCUGUUACAAAGGUUCAGAAGAAAGAUGGCAAGAAGCGCAAGCGGAGCCGCAAGGAGAGUUACUCCGUUUAUGUGUACAAGGUACUGAAGCAGGUCCAUCCAGACACCGGUAUUUCUUCAAAGGCAAUGGGUAUCAUGAACUCAUUUGUUAACGACAUCUUCGAGCGUAUAGCUGGUGAAGCCUCCCGGCUGGCGCAUUACAACAAACGCUCCACCAUCACAUCUCGGGAGAUCCAGACGGCAGUGCGCCUGCUAUUACCUGGGGAGCUGGCCAAGCAUGCCGUGUCGGAGGGCACCAAGGCGGUCACCAAGUACACCAGUUCUAACUGCAGGUAGACCAAAAACUAAAUCCUGUGGCUCAGUGAGUAGGGCACCGGCCCUAUAUAUCAAGGGUGGUGGGUUCAAACCCAGCCCCAGCGAAACUGCAACAAAAAAAUAGCUGGACAUUGUGGUGGGCAUCUGUAGUCCCAAGAGCUGGAGGUUGCUGUGAGCUGCGACGCCGCAGCACUCUACCCAGGGCAACAAAGUGUGAAAGAUCUAAAGUGAUCAGUGCAUUUGUGUCUAUGUCGGAAGCAAAGUGGAUUUGGUUAUUUCGACAAUGAUA